UGGAUUCCGCAGCCGGGAUGCCCGAGCAGGACGGAGGACCCCAGCUCCCUGAGCUCUCAUCUUGGGCCUCUCCAGCUCCCUGCGGGGCUCCCCAGGAAACACUCCUGGGACUUAGGUGCCCUUCACCUGAACACACACGCGUCCAUUCAGCACUCCGGAGGGACCCGAGCACCGGCCUUCCCUGCCGCCUCGAGCUUGGAGGAGGGAGCACGGUCGGUCCCCGGCGGCGGCGUGUCUUCCGACGGCGUGCCCAUUACAUUGGGACUGUCCUCUUCCUGCAAAUCAGAGCAGUUGAGUGCCACCCCAGGCUGAAUACCAUUUUUGAUCUGCGGUUGGUUGAAUCGAUGGAUGCGGCACCUGAGAAUGUAGAGGGCGG